GACGAACGCUGGCGGCGUGCUUAACACAUGCAAGUCGAACGGAAAGGCCCUGCUUUUGUGGGGUGCUCGAGUGGCGAACGGGUGAGUAACACGUGAGUAACCUGCCCUUGACUUUGGGAUAACUUCAGGAAACUGGGGCUAAUACCGGAUAGGAGCUCCUGCUGCAUGGUGGGGGUUGGAAAGUUUCGGCGGUUGGGGAUGGACUCGCGGCUUAUCAGCUUGUUGGUGGGGUAGUGGCUUACCAAGGCUUUGACGGGUAGCCGGCCUGAGAGGGUGACCGGCCACCUUGGGACUGCGAUACGGCCCAGACUCCUACGGGAGGCAGCAGUGGGGAGUAUUGCACAAUGGGCGGAAGCCUGAUGCAGCAACGCCGCGUGCGGGAUGACGGCCUUCGGGUUGUAAACCGCUUUCGCCUGUGACGAAGCGUGAGUGACGGUAAUGGGUAAAGAAGCACCGGCUAACUACGUG
rnacentral:rRNA from 1 species